UAGGGAAUCUUCCGCAAUGGGCGAAAGCCUGACGGAGCAACGCCGCGUGUGCGAAGAAGGUCUUCGGAUCGUAAAGCACUGUUGUUAAGGAAGAACGACAGUAAGAGUCACUGCUUACUGUGUGACGGUACUUAACCAGAAAGCCACGGCUAACUACGUGCCAGCAGCCGCGGUAAUACGUAGGUGGCAAGCGUUAUCCGGAAUUAUUGGGCGUAAAGCGCGCGUAGGCGGCGAAAUAAGUCUGAUGUGAAAGCCCUCGGCUCAACCGGGGAAGGUCAUUGGAAACUGUAUCGCUUGAGUGCAGAAGAGGAGAGUGGAAUUCCAUGUGUAGCGGUGAAAUGCGCAGAGAUAUGGAGGAACACCAGUGGCGAAGGCGGCUCUCUGGUCUGUAACUGACGCUGAUGUGCGAAAGCGUGGGGAUCAAACAGGAUUAGAUACCCUGGUAGUCCACGCCGUAAACGAUGAGUGCUAAGUGUUAGGGGGUUUCCGCCCCUUAGUGCUGCAGCAAAACGCAUUAAGCACUCCGCCUGGGGAGUACGGCCGCAAGGCUGAAACUCAAAGGAAUUGACGGGGUCAUAGCUGUUUCC
rnacentral:rRNA from 1 species